GACGAACGCUGGCGGCGUGCCUAACACAUGCAAGUCGAGCGAGAAUCUAUUAAUUGAUUCCUUCGGGAUGAUUUUGAUAGAGGAAAGCGGCGGACGGGUGAGUAACGCGUGAGUAACCUGCCUUAUGGAGGGGGACAACAUUUGGAAACAAGUGCUAAUACCGUAUAAUACUAACAACCGCAUGGUUGUUAAUUGAAAGAUGGUUUUGCUAUCACUAAGAGAUGGACCCGCGGUGCAUUAGCUAGUUGGUAAGGUAAUGGCUUACCAAGGCGAUGAUGCGUAGCCGAGUUGAGAGACUGAUCGGCCACAAUGGGACUGAGACACGGCCCAU
rnacentral:rRNA from 1 species